ACUCCCAGACCCAGUGGCAGCGCAGCGAGGGCUGGGAACUGUAGUUUUCGCUCCCCAUCCAAGCUGAGCAGCUGCCGUCUCUCCUCUGACAGUUACAUCCUCCGGACACCCAAGGAGGUGGGCAUUACGUUCCCAUUUUACAAACUGAAACUCAGAGAUGUUGAGUAACAACUUCAAGGUCAAAAAGCAGCGGGGAGCCACAUCCUCCUAACCCCAGAGAAUUUACCCUUCCUGCCCUCAACUCCUGUUCCGAGUUCUCCAUGAAACUCACUCUGACAAAAGGAGGGGAGGAAUACUUCAAAAGAGCGGCUCCACUGAGACCUGUCUGGAAUCAGGGUGAUGAUGCUGCUCCUAAAUCCCUGUGGCGGGCGGGCUGCUGGUCCUGGAGGUGGAGAGAAGAUGGAGUGGAGAAGCCAGGCGUGGUCCUGGAGCAGCCCUGCGCUGGGGAUCCCACCCAUCUGGCUUGGAGCUACCAUUUUCCUGCCGGUGACCACACGAGCAAGUUGCAGCUCUCUGAGCCUAUAAAACUGGACCCAUUUGUGCCCGCCUGCACAGUCGGUUUGUGACAAUCGAGAUACAUUUUUAAAUGCUUCUCCUGACCCCUUCUCCAUGGCUGUGGUGUGAGAACUUGCUGUUCUGGCUGGAUGAGUCAGUCCGGAUGGGAAAGUUUAUUUAUUUGAGGGGCCAAAGGUCAAAUGAAAGGUGCUGAUACUGUGUCUGGAAAGAA
rnacentral:lncRNA from 1 species